rnacentral:rRNA from 1 species
GCAUAUCAAUAAGCGGAGGAAAAGAAACCAACCGGGAUUGCCUCAGUAACGGCGAGUGAAGCGGCAAGAGCUCAAAUUUGAAAUCUGGCCCCUCCGGGGUCCGAGUUGUAAUUUGCAGAGGAUGCUUCGGGUGCAGCCCCCAUCUAAGUUCCCUGGAACGGGACGUCAUAGAGGGUGAGAAUCCCGUAUGGGAUGGGGUGUCUGCGUCCGUGUGAAGCUCCUUCGACGAGUCGAGUUGUUUGGGAAUGCAGCUCUAAAUGGGUGGUAAAUUUCAUCUAAAGCUAAAUAUUGGCCGGAGACCGAUAGCGCACAAGUAGAGUGAUCGAAAGAUGAAAAGCACUUUGAAAAGAGAGUUAAACAGCACGUGAAAUUGUUGAAAGGGAAGCGCUUGCGACCAGACUCGCCUACGGGGUUCAGCCGGCUUUCGGGCCGGUGUACUUCCCCGUGGGCGGGCCAGCGUCGGUUUGGGCGGCCGGUCAAAGGCCCCGGGAAUGUAACGCCCUCCGGGGCGUCUUAUAGCCCGGGGUGCAAUGCGGCCUGCCUGGACCGAGGAACGCGCUUCGGCACGGACGCUGGCAUAAUGGUCGUAAGCGACCCGUCUUGAAACACGGACCAAGGAGUCUAACAUCUACGCGAGUGUUCGGGUGUCAAACCCGUGCGCGGAGUGAAAGCGAACGGAGGUGGGAGCCCCUUACGGGGCGCACCAUCGACCGAUCCUGAUGUCUUCGGAUGGAUUUGAGUAAGAGCGUAAAUGUGGGGACCCGAAAGAUGGUGAACUAUGCCUGAAUAGGGCGAAGCCAGAGGAAACUCUGGUGGAGGCUCGCAGCGGUUCUGACGUGCAAAUCGAUCGUCAAAUUUGGGUAUAGGGGCGAAAGACUAAUCGAACCAUCUGGUAGCUGGUUCCUGCCGA